GCCUCUAUAGCUCAGUUAGUUAGAGCACUGCACCGGAAUCACAGGUUCAAUUCCUGCCAGGGACC